UACUUGCGGCCAUUCACAACCUCUGAGUUUCAUAGUAAUUUCCCUAAGGAUUAUGAUUAGAUGCAAACUAAAAUAUAUGCAUAACAUAUAUAAUAUAUAUACGAAUCUGUCAACUCUGUCAACAUCAGAUGAUACAAAAUUACUAAUUUUUUCUCAAGAAUUAAUGUCUAAACGCGGAGCUUCAGUCUUCAUAUAUAUUUUCGUAUGUUUCGCUGGUAACUACAGAGAGCGAUCUGAUUCCGGUGACUUCGAUUGCUCGAUAAGUUUGCAGGAAUUCAGAAGGUGAUUAAUAAUGGACGAGACAUUGAAUGAACUUGAAAAAAUGCAUGCUGACGCAAAGAACGAUAUAGCAAAAGCUACAAUUGAAAAAAUGAUUGUCGUUGAAAAGGCAAAGUUAUCAGGACAAACAUUGGAGAACGUUUUGCAUAACCUUACACGCGUGCAAAAACUAACUAUAAAUUUUGAUGGCAAACUUAAAGAGGAAUAUCGCCUAACAAAAGAUGUACAAGAUAUUUUGAGGUAUACUUUCAAAAAAGUCUUGUUUAAUAAAAGUAAAAUAAUUUUAUUUACUGACAAUUAUAACUAAAUUCAUAGAAAUACCUCAAAAAAUAAUUUAUACAGUCCAUAAACCUUUGGAAUUAAUAUUGAUGAUUAUAUUUAACCUUUAAUUAAAAAAUUGCUUAUGC